UACGUAGGGGGCAAGCGUUGUCCGGAUUUAUUGGGCGUAAAGAGCGUGUAGGCGGUUUGGUAGGUCCGUUGUGAAAACUCGAGGCUCAACCUCGAGACGCCGAUGGAAACCAUCAGGCUAGAGUCCGGAAGAGGAGAGUGGAAUUCCCGGUGUAGCGGUGAAAUGCGCAGAUAUCGGGAAGAACACCCGUGGCGAAGGCGGCUCUCUGGGACGGUACUGACGCUGAGACGCGAAAGCGUGGGGAGCGAACAGG
rnacentral:rRNA from 1 species